CAUCUGAAAGCUCUGUUUGAGCGUAAUAUUGAAGCUAUUGAGGUAGGUUGUAUACCUUCAGAUGA
rnacentral:tRNA from 1 species